GAUGAACGCUGGCGGCGUGCUUAACACAUGCAAGUCGAACGGAAAGGCCCAAGCUUGCUUGGGUACUCGAGUGGCGAACGGGUGAGUAACACGUGGGUGAUCUGCCCUGCACUUCGGGAUAAGCCUGGGAAACUGGGUCUAAUACCGGAUAGGACCACAUUUUGGAUGGUGUGGUGGAAAGUUUUUCGGGGUGGGAUGAGCUCGCGGCCUAUCAGCUUGUUGGUGGGGUAAUGGCCUACCAAGGCGUCGACGGGUAGCCGGCCUGUGAGGGUGUACGGCCACAUUGGGACUGAGGUACGGCCCAGGCUCCUACGGGAGGCAGCAGUGGGGAAUAUUGCACAAUGGGCGCAAGCCUGAUGCAGCGACGCCGCGUGGGGGAUGACGGCCUUCGGGUUGUAAACUCCGUUCGCUAGGGACGAAGCGUUAUGUGACGGUACCUGGAGAAGAAGCACCGGCUAACUACGUG
rnacentral:rRNA from 1 species